AUCCAGAUGACGAGCGAGUCCCGAAUAGGACAAAAUGCGCAUCCUGGAU
rnacentral:hammerhead_ribozyme from 1 species